UUAAGCAUAUCAAUAAGCGGAGGAAAAGAAACCAACAGGGAUUGCCUUAGUAACGGCGAGUGAAGCGGCAAUAGCUCAAAUUUGAAAUCUGGCGCUUGCGUCCGAGUUGUAAUUUGCAGAGGAUGAUUUUGGUUAGGUACCUUCCGAGUUCCUUGGAACAGGACGCCUUAGAGGGUGAGAGCCCCGUACGGUUGGAUGCCGAGCCUUUGUAAAUCUCCUUCGACGAGUCGAGUAGUUUGGGAAUGCUGCUCUAAAUGGGAGGUAAAUUUCUUCUAAAGCUAAAUACUGGCCAGAGACCGAUAGCGCACAAGUAGAGUGAUCGAAAGAUGAAAAGCACUUUGAAAAGAGGGUUAAAUAGCACGUGAAAUUGUUGAAAGGGAAGGAUUUAUGACCAGACUUUUUCUAGGAGGAUCAUCCGGUGUUCUCACCGGUGCACUUCUUCUAGUUUAGGCCAGCAUCGACUUUCGGCGGUGGAUAAAAGCUUUAGGAAUGUGACUCCUCUCGGGGAGUGUUAUAGCCUAUUGUAUAAUACACUGCUGGGGGUCGAGGUACGCGCUUCUGCAAGGAUGCUGGCGUAAUGGUUAUCAAUCACCCGUCUUGAAACACGGACCAAGGAGUCGAACAUUUGUGCAAGUGUUUGGGUGUUAAACCCUCACGCGUAAUGAAAGUGAACGGAGGUGAGAGCCCUUACGGGUGCAUCAUCGACCGAUCCUGAUGUUUUCGGAUGGAUUUGAGUAAGAGCAUAACUGUUCGGACCCGAAAGAUGGUGAACUAUGCGUGGAUAGGGUGAAGCCAGAGGAAACUCUGGUGGAGGCUCGCAGCGGUUCUGACGUGCAAAUCGAUCGUCAAAUCUGCGCAUGGGGGCGAAAGACUAAU
rnacentral:rRNA from 1 species